GGACCUGAAAAGAUAUCUUGCAUCUCCACCAUUGCUUACAAAGCCAAAGAUCGGAGAAACUUUAUAUCUUUACUUGACGACAUCGAUGGAGACAGUUAGUUCGGUGCUUAUCCAAGAGAAUAAAAAUCGAAUUCAACGAUCAAUCUACCACACUAGCAAGAUGCUUUAUAAUGCUGAAGUUAGAUAUUCAAGAGUAGAGAAA
rnacentral:lncRNA from 1 species